rnacentral:rRNA from 1 species
UACGUAGGGGGCUAGCGUUGUCCGGAUUUAUUGGGCGUAAAGAGCGUGUAGGCGGCCAGGUAGGUCUGGUGUGAAAACUCGAGGCUUAAACCUCGAGAUGUCAUCGGAAACCAUCUGGCUAAGAGUCCGGAAGAGGAGAGUGGAAAUUCCUGGUGUAGCGGUGAAAUGCGCAGAUAUCAGGAAGAACACCAAUGCGAAAAGCAGCUCUCUGGGACGGUACUGACGCUGAGACGCGAAAGCGUGGGGGAGCGAACAGG